GUGGCUGUGGCUCAGUGAGUAGGGCACCAGCCCCAUAUCCCGAGGGUGGUGGGUUCAAACCCAGCCCAGCCACA
rnacentral:tRNA from 1 species